UGGCAAUGUUGGAAUGGGAUAGAUGGG
rnacentral:piRNA from 1 species